rnacentral:rRNA from 1 species
UCGGGCGGCAGCGGGGUGGGAGCUUGCUCCCACUGCCGGCGAGCGGCGCACGGGUGAGUAACACGUAUGCAACCUGCCCCUGUCAGGGGGACAACCCGCCGAAAGGCGGGCUAAGCCCGCGUAUAUCGCCCCGGGGCAUCCCGGGGGGAGGAAAGGAGCGAUCCGGACAGGGAUGGGCAUGCGGCGCAUUAGCUGGUCGGCGGGGUAACAGCCCACCGAGGCGACGAUGCGUAGGGGUUCUGAGAGGAAGGCCCCCCACACUGGUACUGAGACACGGACCAGACUCCUACGGGAGGCAGCAGUGAGGAAUAUUGGUCAAUGGGCGGGAGCCUGAACCAGCCAAGCCGCGUGAGGGAAGAAGGUACAGCGUAUCGUAAACCUCUCUUGUCAGGGAACAAAGGCGGGGACUAGUCCCCGGAUGAGGGUACCUGAAGAAAAAGCAUCGGCUAACUCCGUGCCAGCAGCCGCGGUAAUACGGAGGAUGCGAGCGUUAUCCGGAUUUAUUGGGUUUAAAGGGUGCGCAGGCGGCCUGUUAAGUCAGCGGUAAAAGCCCGGGGCUCAACCCCGGCGAGCCGUUGAAACUGGCGGGCUGGAGUUGGAGAGAAGUACGCGGAAUGCGCGGUGUAGCGGUGAAAUGCUUAGAUAUCGCGCAGAACCCCGAUUGCGAAGGCAGCGUACCGGCUCCACACUGACGCUGAGGCACGAAAGCGUGGGUAUCGAACAGGAUUAGAUACCCUGGUAGUCCACGCAGUAAACGAUGAAUGCUUGCUGUCCGGGCAGAGAUAUGCCUGGGGGGCGAAGCG